CGGAGAGGGAACCCACU
rnacentral:misc_RNA from 1 species